rnacentral:lncRNA from 1 species
CCAAGCCUACCUGAGAACUAUCAACGCCUUGAAAACCCAGCCGCAUCUUGAGAAAGCAAGCAUUACUCAUUCAUCUACAUUCAAAAAAAAUAUAGAAAUUCAAAUCCAAAUCAUUUGAUACAAAAUCAAAAUCAAAAUCAUUUGAUACAAAUUUACAUUACCUUCAAGUUCAACCUCUUCAUCAGCAGUAACAUCAUUCACCUAAAGAUUUAGGGCCUUGAGCUUCUGAAUCUCUUUCUCCAUAAUGUUUCUUCAUGGCACUUGAAAAAGUGGUUGUAAGUUGCACACAAAUUUCUUGAAAUAGAGGUUAUCCACUAUACUGAGUGGCAGCUCAUGCUUCAAUAUUGCUAUACCAAGUUGUUAUUUUAACAUUUCAAGAUUAUAAUUAGCACCAUUGUUAACCUCUUCUUCUGGAGGUGCAAGGGCUAUGUUCUGAUUGUUCACACUAUUAGCUUCCAUUCGUAUUAAACAACAAUGGUAAUAAACAAAUAAGUAAUGAACUUCAAAUUACAGAACAUGAAUUAUGAACUUUUUUUAGAUGAACUAUGAACUUGACUAUUAUAGAAACCUAAACUAUGACUAUGAACUUGACUACUAUUUACUUUUAAACUUCAAAUUACAAAGCAUUAGAUUUUAUCAUACAACUGUAACUCAACAUUCAAAACAGAACAAUGAUGGAACUACAUAAUAUGAAUAUUACCUUGAACUUCAAGGCUAAAAAUUUACACUCCAAUUCUCCAACAAGCUCCAGACGAUUAACUUGCAAAUAAGAAUAAUCGGAGAAUCAAGAAUGAGAACCUUAAUAUGUCGAAAUCUGAAACUCUAAAAUCAAAGAUUCAAAAUCAGAGAAUCCAAUUUGUAACCUACCCAAAAAAGAUGAAACUUGCUUCGUGACCUUGCAUGCGUGAUAAAGUCCAUUUGGAGAGUGUAUCCAUCAGAAUUGGCAGCUAAAGAGAGGAAAAACUCAUUAGAAGUUGGAUUCGUAACCUUUGCUUUUGGUUCUGAUUGGCUUAUGACAAGAUCGAUGAGGCUCUUGAACUCUCCCAGGCAAUAAAUCGCGAUUUCAAUGUAUGUUUACUAGUUUUGAGAAUUGAG